GACGAACGCUGGCGGCGUGCCUAAUACAUGCAAGUCGAGCGGAGCUUUAGGGUGCUUGCACCCUAAAGUUUAGCGGCGGACGGGUGAGUAACACGUAGGCAACCUACCUGUAAGACGGGGAUAACUUCGGGAAACCGGAGCUAAUACCGGAUGAGAUCAUGUGCUGCAUGGCAGAUGAUUGAAAGAUGGCGUAAGCUAUCACUUACAGAUGGGCCUGCGGUGCAUUAGCUAGUUGGUAGGGUAAUGGCCUACCAAGGCAACGAUGCAUAGCCGACCUGAGAGGGUGAUCGGCCACACUGGGACUGAGACACGGCCCAGACUCCUACGGGAGGCAGCAGUAGGGAAUCUUCGGCAAUGGACGAAAGUCUGACCGAGCAACGCCGCGUGAGUGAGGAAGGUUUUCGGAUCGUAAAGCUCUGUUGUUAGAGAAGAACAAGUACCGUUUGAAUAAGGCGGUACCUUGACGGUACCUAACGAGAAAGCCCCGGCUAACUACGUGCCAGCCGCCGCCGUAACAC
rnacentral:rRNA from 1 species